GAGCAAGAGCCCGGAGAUGGAUUCUGAGACAUGAAUCCAGGCCCUACGGGGCGCAGCAGGCGCGAAAACUUUACAAUGCGGGAAACCGUGAUAAGGGAACCCCGAGUGCCCGUAGAAUCGGGCUGUUGAUCUGUGUAAAAAGCAGGUAAAGAAAGGGCCGGGCAAGACCGGUGCCAGCCGCCGCGGUAAUACCGGCGGCUCGAGUGGUGGCCACUAUUACUGGGCUUAAAGCGUUCGUAGCUGGGUUGUUAAGUCUCUUGGGAAAUCCACCGGCUCAACCGAUGGGCGACCAGGGGAAACUGGCAUUCUAGGGACCGGGAGAGGUGAGAGGUACUCCAGGGGUAGGAGUGAAAUCCUGUAAUCCUUGGGGGACCACCGAUGGCGAAGGCAUCUCACCAGAACGGCUCCGACAGUGAGGAACGAAAGCUGGGGGAGCAAACCGGAUUAGAUACCCGGGUAGUCCCAGCUGUAAACGAUGCGCGUUAGGUGUAUCGGUGACCACGAGUUACCGAGGUGCCGAAGGGAAACCGUGAAACGCGCC
rnacentral:rRNA from 1 species